rnacentral:rRNA from 1 species
CGAGAAAGCCCGCAAGGGUGAGUAAAGCGGCGCACGGGUGCGUAACACGUGGGUAAUCUGCCCUAGAGUCCGGAAUAACUCGCCGAAAGGCGUGCUAAUGCCGGAUGAGACCACGGGAGCCUCGGCUCCUGCGGGAAAAGGUGGCCUCUGUAUACAAGCUAUCGUUCCAGGAUGAGCCCGCGGCCCAUCAGCUCGUUGGCGGGGUAAUGGCCCACCAAGGCUACGACGGGUAGCUGGUCUGAGAGGACGAUCAGCCACACUGGAACUGAGACACGGUCCAGACUCCUACGGGAGGCAGCAGUGGGGAAUCUUGCGCAAUGGGCGAAAGCCUGACGCAGCAACGCCGCGUGUGUGAUGAAGGUCUUCGGAUCGUAAAGCACUGUCGCGAGGGACG